rnacentral:rRNA from 1 species
AUGGGCGAAAGCCUGAUGCAGCAACGCCGCGUGCGGGAUGACGGCCUUCGGGUUGUAAACCGCUUUCAGCCUGGUGACACUGCGUGAGUGACGGUAAUAGGU